UUGUUGUACAGAUGGAACAUUGGCUGUGGAUUCUUCUUGCUGCUCUUUUCUUUGAGUGUAAAGGAGAAGACAAAGUGAUCCAACCAGGAGGAGAAGUCAUUGCUGCUGAAGGAGACCCUGUCACACUCAACUGUACCUUUGAAGCCAGUGACAAUUAUGUCUAUUUGUUCUGGUACAAACAAAAAGUGAACAGUUACCCAAAGUACAUGUUGAGACGUGACUCCUAUGAAACAGAAGACAACGCCCCAGAGUUCAAGAUAGAAAAAUUUAAUGCUAAACUCAAAGACAAAUCAGUUCCUCUGACGAUCCAGAAUCUUCAUGUGUCAGACUCUGCUUUGUACUACUGUGCUCUGCGGCCCACAGUGACAGGAAACAGCAAAACUCUGUACAAAAACCUGCAGAGACAACACAAUGCUCCACAACAUCCACUAGAGAGUGCCAUACAUUUAAUCUUCAUCCCCGAAAUAAUGUUCACUGAGGUUUCAUGUUAGGAGAAGUACCAGCAAACCCUCAAAACUAAAUAAAGCUGAAUAGAA